rnacentral:misc_RNA from 1 species
GAAAUGCGGUAAGUAAUGUGAAUUGCAGAAUUCAGUGAAUCAUCGAAUCUUUGAACGCACAUUGCGCCCGCCAGUAUUCUGGCGGGCAUGCCUGUUCGAGCGUCAUUACAACCCUCAGGCCCCCGGGCCUGGCGUUGGGGAUCGGCGGAAGCCCCCUGCGGGCACAACGCCGUCCCCCAAAUACAGUGGCGGUCCCGCCGCAGCUUCCAUUGCGUAGUAGCUAACACCUCGCAACUGGAGAGCGGCGCGGCCACGCCGUAAAACACCCAACUUCUGAAUGUUGACCUCGAAUCAGGUAGGAAUACCCGCUGAACUUAAGC